rnacentral:rRNA from 1 species
GUCCACGCCGUAAACGAUGCUAACUCGUUUGGGCUUUAGGGUUCAGAGACCAAGCGAAAGUGAUAAGUUAGCCACCUGGGGAGUACGCUCGCAAGAGUGAAACUCAAAGGAAUUGACGGGGCCCGCACAAGCGGUGGAUUAUGUGGUUUAAUUCGAUGAUACGCGAGGAACCUUACCAAGACUUAAAUGGGAAUUGACAGUUUUAGAAAUAGAACUUUCUUCGGACAAUUUUCAAGGUGCUGCAUGGUUGUCGU